rnacentral:rRNA from 1 species
CGUAACAAGGUCUCCGUUGGUGAACCAGCGGAGGGAUCAUUACCGAGUUUACAACUCCCAAACCCCUGUGAACAUACCAAUUGUUGCCUCGGCGGAUCAGCCCGCUCCCGGUAAAACGGGACGGCCCGCCAGAGGACCCCUAAACUCUGUUUCUAUAUGUAACUUCUGAGUAAAACCAUAAAUAAAUCAAAACUUUCAACAACGGAUCUCUUGGUUCUGGCAUCGAUGAAGAACGCAGCAAAAUGCGAUAAGUAAUGUGAAUUGCAGAAUUCAGUGAAUCAUCGAAUCUUUGAACGCACAUUGCGCCCGCCAGUAUUCUGGCGGGCAUGCCUGUUCGAGCGUCAUUUCAACCCUCAAGCCCAGCUUGGUGUUGGGACUCGCGAGUCAAAUCGCGUUCCCCAAAUUGAUUGGCGGUCACGUCGAGCUUCCAUAGCGUAGUAGUAAAACCCUCGUUACUGGUAAUCGUCGCGGCCACGCCGUUAAACCCCAACUUCUGAAUGUUGACCUCGGAUCAGGUAGGAAUACCCGCUGAACUUAAGCAUAUCACGGAGCAAAAGAAACCAACAGGGAUUGCCCUAGUAACGGCGAGUGAAGCGGCAACAGCUCAAAUUUGAAAUCUGGCUCUCGGGCCCGAGUUGUAAUUUGUAGAGGAUACUUUUGAUGCGGUGCCUUCCGAGUUCCCUGGAACGGGACGCCAUAGAGGGUGAGAGCCCCGUCUGGUUGGAUGCCAAAUCUCUGUAAAGUUCCUUCGACGAGUCGAGUAGUUUGGGAAUGCUGCUCUAAAUGGGAGGUAUAUGUCUUCUAAAGCUAAAUACCGGCCAGAGACCGAUAGCGCACAAGUAGAGUGAUCGAAAGAUGAAAAGCACUUUGAAAAGAGAGUUAAAAAGUACGUGAAAUUGUUGAAAGGGAAGCGUUUAUGACCAGACUUGGGCUUGGUUAAUCAUCUGGGGUUCUCCCCAGUGCACUUUUCCAGUCCAGGCCAGCAUCAGUUUUCCCCGGGGGAUAAAGACUUCGGGAAUGUGGCUCUCUUCGGGGAGUGUUAUAGCCCGUUGUGUAAUACCCUGGGGGGGACUGAGGUUCGCGCAUCUGCAAGGAUGCUGGCGUAAUGGUCAUCAACGACCCGUCUUGAA